rnacentral:lncRNA from 1 species
CCGAGAUAAUAUUUAUAGCUUUUGACACAUACGUUAAACAUUAAACCAAACAUGCCAAAAGAAAAGAAAGAAUAAAAAAACAAUUUAGUAAAUAAUAACCAGUUAAGUUAAAUAUAAAACUUUGGUUUGUGAUGGAUUUACCUCUAAAGACCAUAGCAUUUAGUACAACAAUGGAAUAAACCAUCAAGUCUUUUUAUAUAUAUAAUUUGAAUAAUUAAUAUGAAUUAGAUAGGCAACAUUAAAAACCAUAUCAUGAUUUACGAACAAUGCAUGUAUACAAACAGGCCAUAAAAUUAAAACACAAUUUGGUAGCCUAUCGAAUGAUCGCAUUGACAGUCUGAACAAUGUGUAAAGACAGCACCGGCAGGAUGACGGCAAUAAAGACACAAUCGUAUGAAAUAAAGAUCCUAAACGUUUUAGCAG